GACGAACGCUGGCGGCGUGCUUAACGCAUGCAAGUCGAACGGAAAGGCCCUGCUUUUGUGGGGUGCUCGAGUGGCGAACGGGUGAGUAACACGUGAGUAACCUGCCCUUGACUUUGGGAUAACUUCAGGAAACUGGGGCUAAUACCGGAUAGGAGCUCCUGCUGCAUGGUGGGGGUUGGAAAGUUUCGGCGGUUGGGGAUGGACUCGCGGCUUAUCAGCUUGUUGGUGGGGUAGUGGCUUACCAAGGCUUUGACGGGUAGCCGGCCUGAGAGGGUGACCGGCCACAGUGGGGCAGGGAUACGGCCCAGACACCUACGGGAGGCAGGAGUGGGGGAUAUUGCAUAAUGGGCGGAAGCCUGAUGCAGCAACGCCGCGGGGGGGAUGACGGCAUUCGGGUUGUAAACAGCAUCCGCCUGUGAAGGACCGUGAGUGACGGUAAUGGGUAAAAAAGCACCGGCUAACUAAGUG
rnacentral:rRNA from 1 species